GUGCUCACUUCAGCAGCAUAUACACUAACAUUGCAACUAUACAAAGAAGAUUAGCCUGGCCCCUCCACAAUAUGGCAUACAAAUUAAUGAAUUGCUCUAUAGUUUU
ensembl:snRNA U6 U6 spliceosomal RNA